rnacentral:lncRNA from 1 species
AGAGAGAAAAAAAAGAAGAGGGGAAAGGAGCUUAUUUCUCCUUCUGCUUAUUCAAAUAUGCUAUUUUUAAGACAUUUGUGGGAUUUUAUUUAAAAUGAUUAUGAUCCAAUUAGGUGGAGAUGCUGCAGAGAGCGCACCUUCCGCCUCCCCUCCUGGAUACACCGUGAUCUCAUAAGGCACCAGAACGGUUUUUGGUGGCUUUGGCACCAGCGUGGGCUCCCCCCACCCCCACCCCCAACUUCUGCCUCCCUCUAGCCGUUUAUCUCAUGGGACUUGCCGCUGGGGCUGGGGGGUUGGGGAGAAGAGCAAGAGAGAAGAAAGAGCAGCCGGCUCCUACCAGCACACCCGGAGGCGGGGACGCUAAGCAAUGCGGCACUCCCUGGCAUCCAUCAGCCGCGGCUUCAGCGGCGUCGGCGGCAGCAGCAUCAACUCCUCUCGGUGGGAUGGAGCAAGCAGAGAAGAGAGGCAGUAGCGGGGACCCGGGCCGAAGACGCACUGGGGAGCAGCCGUGGCCACAUCGUCCGCAAGCAGCCCGCUGCCUCUCCCAGUAGAAGGGGUGGGGGUGCACGGCUAGGGCCACCGCUGUCCCAGGUCCUCACCCGGCCCUGCCAUCCUCGCCUUCGGGAGAGGAGAAUGGAGGGAGCGGGAUUCGAACGCCGGGAUGGAGAAGGCCACGCGGGCGGCCGCCGCCUUUGUGCGCCCGGAGCCGCCGGGGCCGGGGUCCUGCGGGGCGGCUGCAACUGGGCGCGGGCCUCUCCCGAGCGCGCCCGGGUGGCGGGACUCAGGCGCGCCCCUCCGGGCUACUGCUGCUGCUGCUGCUGCUGCUGCGGCUCCGGCUGCCGCUGCUAAAAGAGGACUCGGCACAGCCCAACUCCUCUCUAAUUAUCCCAGCACAGAUCUCGCUGCGACGUAAGCACUCACUCAGCUCGCGCACGCACUCCGCUCUCCGCUCCCUCACCCGUCGGGGUAGAACGACAAUUUCCGCGGCAUUCAAAUAUCCCGAGCCCCAAGUUAAGCCUGCUCCUUGUCCCCACUCCCCGGCAGGCUAGUCGGACGAGCAUCGCCUGGCCAGGCGGGGCAGCGACGUCUUGUAGCCUCCCCACGCCCCUCGCUCACCCUUUGUGUACAAGACCCCUGAGCGGCCAGGCGAGUAGCUGUUGUAGAUGGUAAUUCACAUUGACACACAUUUUCUAGUUCCCGUAGGAGGUAAUUUUGAUGUGGAAGGAGUACAGAAACAUUUUGUACUUUCUGUGUUUGUUGUUGACACAAAUGUUUAAUUUAGAAAAGAAGACUAGAGUGGUUCCAAGGCAUUGUGUUGAUGAUUAAGCCUCCAGAGGAACUUAUAUGAAUAGUAUUUCAUCCAUAAACUCUGGCUGCUAAAUUCCUUUUGAAGAGGAUGAAAAUGAGCACCGGAAAAAUAAAAUAAAAUAAACGGUGCUCA